rnacentral:rRNA from 1 species
UACGGAGGGGGUUAGCGUUGUUCGGAAUUACUGGGCGUAAAGCGCACGUAGGCGGAUAUUUAAGUUAGAGGUGAAAUCCCAGGGCUCAACCCUGGAACUGCCUUUAAUACUGGGUAUCUUGAGUUCGAGAGAGGUGAGUGGAAUUCCGAGUGUAGAGGUGAAAUUCGUAGAUAUUCGGAGGAACACCAGUGGCGAAGGCGGCUCACUGGCUCGAUACUGACGCUGAGGUGCGAAAGCGUGGGGAGCAAACAGG